rnacentral:tRNA from 2 species
GGGAUAUGGCGAAAUCGGUAGACGCUACGGACUUAAUCCGUCGACUUUAAAAAUCGUGAGGGUUCAAGUCCCUCUAUCCCCAAAA